rnacentral:rRNA from 1 species
UACAGAGGUCCCAAGCGUUGUUCGGAUUCACUGGGCGUAAAGGGUGCGCAGGUGGGUUGGCAAGUUCGAUGUGAAAGCCCCGGGCUUAACCCGGGAAUGGCAUUGAAAACUGCUGAUCUGGAGGAUCGGAGGGGGGACUGGAAUUCUUGGUGUAGCAGUGAAAUGCGUAGAUAUCAAGAGGAACACCAGUGGCGAAGGCGGCGCCACUGGACCACAACUGACGCUGAGGCGCGAAAGCUAGGGGAGCAAACAGGA